CUCCCAACCCAAUGUGAACGUUACCAAACUGUUGCCUCGGCGGGAUCUCUGCCCCGGGUGCGUCGCAGCCCCGGACCAAGGCGCCCGCCGGAGGACCAACCAAAACUCUUAUUGUAUACCCCCUCGCGGGUUUUUUUAUAAUCUGAGCCUUCUCGGCGCCCCUCGUGGGCGUUUCGAAAAUGAAUCAAAACUUUCAACAACGGAUCUCUUGGUUCUGGCAUCGAUGAAGAACGCAGCGAAAUGCGAUAAGUAAUGUGAAUUGCAGAAUUCAGUGAAUCAUCGAAUCUUUGAACGCACAUUGCGCCCGCCAGUAUUCUGGCGGGCAUGCCUGUCCGAGCGUCAUUUCAACCCUCGAACCCCUCCGGGGGGUCGGCGUUGGGGAUCGGCCCUCCCUCUGCGGGGGCCGUCUCCGAAAUCCAGUGGCGGUCUCGCCGCAGCCUCUCCUGCGCAGUAGUUUGCACACUCGCACCGGGAGCGCGGCGCGUCCACAGCCGUUAAACACCCAACUUUCCGAAAUGUUGACCUCGGAUCAGGUAGGAAUACCCGCUGAACUUAAGAAUAGGAG
rnacentral:rRNA from 1 species